AACCGGAAGUCGGGGCUCUAGCGCUCUCCCCCUGCCGGGAAUCCUGCCAUCGCCGCAGAGUCGCCCCAGAGGAGGCGCUGCUGAAGGCGCCGCUUGUGGUGCGGAAGCCUGUAAGGGCCGCUCUAGCAUCGUGGGAACCGCCCCGGUCCGUGCUCCCUUCGCUCUUCUCGCCUAGACCUUGGAGCCGCCUCCCGAAGACCUUCCCCCCGCACCUCCCCGCUUUGGUUCCUCCCUGCGGGCCCCCCUUCCCGGGCUUCCCGCUCCCCCCCCAGAGCCGCUCCCUCCGGAGCCCGAGUGACCCCUCUCCUCCCAGGCCCCUCCGGGCUCGGUGUCGGGGCAGUCACAGGGAUGAGACCCUCCUUCCUGCCCCUUUAUCGCUCCCUCUCCAGGUGAGGCUCCGAGGAGGAGAAAUGGCCGCCAGGCUCCGUCCCCCCUGACUCUUCCUCGGGCCUCGGGGUCAGAAAAGCGGCUGGAUCCGGGAGGACCCUGGCGGCCCGAGUGACAAAGGCCGCUUUUCCUCCUGCGCUGGAAUCACGUCAUGUUGUUAAACCGCAUUUGGGGGCAAUUGUUCCAAUUCAUGGUUGGGACAGGAGGUCUGAAAUCAAACAGACAAUUCCAGACAGUUGGAAGAUAGACCUCAUUUGACAUCAGAUUAUCCAUACUGUGAAAGAUCUUAAGAACGUAAUGACUAUGGGAAGACUUUCUGCCUGACUACAGCUCUUAUCUAAGGGAUGUGUCGAGGGUUAGGAUUGACUACCUAUCAAUUACAACCAUUAAAUGACACUUUAAGGAGA